rnacentral:lncRNA from 1 species
UCAUAUUUAAAAUGUAAAUAAUAAGUCUACUGAUUUUUCCAUUUUGGUGUUUCCUUGUCUUUUCAUUUAGAUGUAAUCACUGUAACGACAGACUGAGGGCAAAAGAAAUUAAACCAGUUGGGUGAAUUAGCUCAGCAAGUGACGGUUCACAGGAGAGUCUUUAUCUACUCUUUCCACAGACUGUGUGUGCAUAAUUGCAGGUCUGGCUGUUCUUCCUAGCAGUAAGAAGCCACUGCACCAGAAAGGCUACCUACGUGUUGGAGUAUGGGACCUGAAAUGACUUCAAAGCUAAUAGCCAAACCAUGGACACCUGAUGUUUUCAUUGAGGGUUCAAAGAAAGACUCUGUCACCUGCCAAUUAUUUUCUUGGUUUCGGUCAUGAAAGGAUAAUGCAU